CUGACACCUUGAGUGCAGCCUGUGAGACCCUGAGCAGAGGUUCAGCAGUCCCCUCCCCGGACUCCUGCCACACAGAAGCCAUGAGGCAUCCCCAUCACACACUAGGCUUGGUGACUGCACUUGAGGGACUCACAGGACUUAGCCUACCAUCAUACUAGUGGCUGGGAUUUACUACGGUGAAAAGAUGCGACGCAGAAUUAGUAACAGGAAGAUGCAUUUGGGGUGAGGGCCGGAGGAAACCAGCUGACAGAACCAAGGACACACACCUUGUUAACGACGCCCUCAAGGCUGUGAGGAGAAAGACAACCGGGUGAAGCAACGCUGGGAAUUCAACGCAUCAAUUACCUUCCCAGGUAACAGCAGCUACUUGAGCUCCUAAGAGUUGACCUUCAGCUGCUGUCAUGGAAAAUAGUGGGGGUCAACUAGACAUCAAAGAUGAAAGGCCAGGCCUCCAGCACAACUUUCUCUGUAAGCUCGAUAGUGGCUUUCUCAAAGAAAUCCUUUUCUCAA
rnacentral:lncRNA from 10 species